ACAUAGUUAGUUUAAAAUAAAAUGUUAAUUUGUGGUGUUAAAGAUAUUUGAUAAGUACUGUGUA
rnacentral:tRNA from 1 species